GAUGAACGCUGGCGGCGUGCUUAACGCAUGCAAGUCGAACGAAGCACUUUAUUUGAUUUCCUUCGGGACUGAUUAUUUUGUGACUGAGUGGCGGACGGGUGAGUAACGCGUGGGUAACCUGCCUUGUACAGGGGGAUAACAGUUGGAAACGGCUGCUAAUACCGCAUAAGCGCACAGCAUCGCAUGAUGCAGUGUGAAAAACUCCGGUGGUAUAAGAUGGACCCGCGUUGGAUUAGCUAGUUGGUGAGGUAACGGCCCACCAAGGCGACGAUCCAUAGCCGACCUGAGAGGGUGACCGGCCACAUUGGGACUGAGACACGGCCCAAACUCCUACGGGAGGCAGCAGUGGGGAAUAUUGCACAAUGGGCGAAAGCCUGAUGCAGCGACGCCUCGUGAGCGAAGAAGUAUUUCGGUAUGUAAAGCUCUAUCAGCAGGGAAGAUAAUGACGGUACCUGACUAAGAAGCACCGGCUAAAUACGUG
rnacentral:rRNA from 1 species